rnacentral:rRNA from 1 species
GAUGAACGCUAGCGGCAGGCUUAACACAUGCAAGUCGAGGGGUAACAGGGAGAAGCUUGCUUUUCUGCUGACGACCGGCGAACGGGUGCGUAACGCGUAUAGAAUCUGCCUUGUACAGGAGGAUAGCCUUUAGAAAUGAAGAUUAAUACUCCAUAGUGUAGGGAAGUGGCAUCACUAUCUUACUAAAGAUUUAUUGGUACAAGAUGACUAUGCGUCCUAUUAGCUAGAUGGUGAGGUAACGGCUUACCAUAGCUACGAUAGGUAGGGGGUCUGAGAGGACUAUCCCCCACACUGGUACUGAGACACGGACCAGACUCCUAC